rnacentral:rRNA from 1 species
ACUGAACGCUGGCGGCAUGCCUUACACAUGCAAGUCGAACGGCAGCACGGGCUUCGGUCUGGUGGCGAGUGGCGAACGGGUGAGUAAUGUAUCGGAACGUACCUUUCAGUGGGGGAUAACGUAGCGAAAGUUACGCUAAUACCGCAUAUUCUGUGAGAAGGAAAGCAGGGGAUCGCAAGACCUUGCGCUGAUUGAGCGGCCGAUAUCAGAUUAGCUAGUUGGUGGGGUAAAGGCCUACCAAGGCGACGAUCUGUAGCGGGUCUGAGAGGAUGAUCCGCCACACUGGAACUGAGACACGGUCCAGACUCCUACGGGAGGCAGCAGUGGGGAAUUUUGGACAAUGGGGGCAACCCUGAUCCAGCCAUGCCGCGUGAGUGAAGAAGGCCUUCGGGUUGUAAAGCUCUUUCGGCCGGGAAGAAAUCGCAUGGGCUAAUACCCUGUGUGGAUGACGGUACCGGAAUAAGAAGCACCGGCUAACUACGUGCCAGCCGCCGCGGUAACAC